CAAUGACAGCACUUCCUGAUUCUUGAUGGUCAGCGGGUCCGGGUUGCGGAUAAGGUACUUGCAGCUAAGGAAUCUACAUAGCAACCAAGAGGUGGAGGUGUGUGUCCGCUUACGUGCAGACCCGUCUCUAAUAUGAAGACGCGUCAUCACAGUGAUCGGCUACGUUACUUCCGCCUCGCAUAGAGAAGCAUUGGAUGCAACAAUGGAGUCCUAGACGCACGCUGUAAAUGCUUGAGAAAGGGAAGGAGGAUUUCCCGAAACGUUGCGUGGGUGCUCGAAUAUGUGGCGAUAUCGCUGGACUUAAAAAUGCUGGACUUUGUACAGAUAAGUUGAAAUAAUGCUGAAAAUGGAAGUGCACAUUUGAAUGUUUUAAUAGCAACAAUAAAUGCUACGUUUUAUCAA